rnacentral:rRNA from 1 species
AAGCGCACGCAGGCGGUUUGUUAAGUCAGAUGUGAAAUCCCCGCGCUUAACGUGGGAACUGCAUUUGAAACUGGCAAGCUAGAGUCUUGUAGAGGGGGGUAGAAUUCCAGGUGUAGCGGUGAAAUGCGUAGAGAUCUGGAGGAAUACCGGUGGCGAAGGCGGCCCCCUGGACAAAGACUGACGCUCAGGUGCGAAAGCGUGGGGAGCAAACAGGAUUAGAUACCCUGGUAGUCCACGCUGUAAACGAUGUCGACUUGGAGGUUGUGCCCUUGAGGCGUGGCUUCCGGAGCUAACGCGUUAAGUCGACCGCCUGGGGAGUACGGCCGCAAGGUUAAAACUCAAAUGAAUUGACGGGGGCCCGCACAAGCGGUGGAGCAUGUGGUUUAAUUCGAUGCAACGCGAAGAACCUUACCUACUCUUGACAUCCAGAGAAUUCGCUAGAGAUAGCUUAGUGCCUUCGGGAACUCUGAGACAGGUGCUGCAUGGCUGUCGUCAGCUCGUGUUGUGAAAUGUUGGGUUAAGUCCCGCAACGAGCGCAACCCUUAUCCUUUGUUGCCAGCACGUAAUGGUGG